AAAUGUAAAAAGGCAUGUUGCAAAUGUACUGAUCAAUGUCCUGCCGGUUCAACAUGUAUAAGAGAAGAAGAUACAUGUAAUGGAACAAUAAACACAAAAGGAUGUUGUGGGAACAGGGUCUGCUGUACGCCAACUACAUGUGUAACUAACUGUGCUCAUAUUUGUUAUGAUGGCUGUCAUGUCAGCAAUGUAAGAGAAGGAGAGUGUUGUGGAUCGACAUGUUGCUUUCAAAAUAUCUGAUACUAGAAGUCUUCAGAACACAAUGCCAUGUGAAAAUGUCUACAGAAUACAAUUUUAUGUGAAAAUGACUACAGAACACAAUGUUAUGUGAAAAUGUCUACAGAAUACAA